CUCUUUAACACAGCCGUCUCCGACUCUUGGCUAAUCUUUGUCUGCAGACACCAUGAUUUCAUCUCUCAACUCUUUCAACUCUUAACCUCCCCUAUAGUUCAACGUAUUCCUCUUAAUUUCGCCAAUAAAUGUUAUUCUCAUUAACCCAAUAACGAUGUCGACCUCUUCGUUUCCUUCACGUCAACCCAAAGUCGUGGAAGCCGUCGCUAUGGCUGCUCUUAGGCGUAGCAAAAAGAAGAAGCUAAGUCACAGACUCAUCCACUCUAUAAUCGGUCGAAGUCGAAUACUACACGUGAGCUUAAGAAGGCGGCGAAAUCCCAUAAGCCUCCGUUGAAGAAACAGAGGAAAGGUGUUUCGGAUGAGAAGCCUGAAGCUUCUAAUGAUGAUGAUGAAGAAGAAGAAGAUGGUGAUGGUGACGAGGAGGAGGAGGACACAGAGCCAUUGGCCGACGACUUUCUUGAUGGUAGCGAUGAUGAAGAGGAACCUUUGGGUUCUGAUUCUGACUCUGAUGGAUUUGAUCUCGCAAUGGCAGGAUCUGGUAAAAGUAAAGCUAUUGAUGAAGAACGUAAAAGGCGAUGAACUACAUAUGAACAUAAAGGAACAACCUGAUGAGUUUCGUCUACCAACCAAAAAGGAACUUGAAGAAGAGUCAAGUGGGCCACCAGAUCUUCCUACCUUGCAAACGAGGAUAAAAGAGAUUGUUCGAAUUUUAAGGAUUUGAGGCCAGAAGGAGUGAAGAAGAAGGAUUUUGUUGAAUAGAUUAAGGCUGAUAUUGGUUCUUAUUACGGCUAUAAUGAGUUUCUUUAUGGAAUUUUGGUUCAGAUGUUUCCUCUUGUUGACUCAUGGAACUAAUCGAAGCUUUUGAAAGAAAAGGCCUACGUCUAUACGUCCACACACUUAAGACUCAGUGACGGAAUUUGGCUGAUGUAAACAGAGGAGUUGAUCUAGAUCCAUUAAGCAAGUGGUCAAAAGCUGGACUUGUCGUUUAUGAUUCACAAGUUCCAAAUGGUGCAACUUCUGAGUAUAUGCUGGUUUCUAUAUGUGGUUCGCUUAAUGGGCAGCAACGGUUGGUUGUUAAGGGAAGAUUUGCACCCAAGAAUUCCGAAAAGAUCUUGCUGCGCUAUAUCAGCAAGUAACUUUCACUUUGUCACUUUCUAUCAACUUUUGAAAUUUGAAUUGUCAAAAAUGAAUACCAAGUUGGUGUUCUUAAUUUGUUUGCAAAAAAAAAAGUUGGUGUUCUUAAUGUAAAUCCUUGCAUGGGGUUUUCUUAAA